ACACCCAAUAUAUAAGGCUACGUCUUCCUUGGAAAAUCUACAGAUCUCCUUCUGCACAAUCUUGAAACCCUAAAUUCGAACCUUUUCCCCUGCAAAUUAUACCGACCAGAAAAGCAAUGCUCUUUCUUUGGGGCUGUGAUUGGACAGAGAGAGGCUCGAGUGGGGUUGGAUUGCUUCACCAAUCCAACCAUGAAAACCCUAAUUCCAUUUCAAAGGAAAACCGAUGAACAAUAAAGGAUAAAGAAUGAAUCUUUGAUCGCCGCCCCUUUUUCACACAAAAAGGAAUGAGUUGAGGAUUUAGGCAGCGGCCAGACAACCGUAGGGAUGGUAUCCACAGAUGAAGGGAUAAUUUAAUCCUUUUUUUGUCUACUGAUUCCAUCUCACAUUACUUUUAUCAUAAUCUUUUUUAUUUUUUUCCUUUUCGCGUCGUAUUGGUUUACUUGUGCUUGAAUUUGAUGUUUCAAUAAUGUGCUUGGAUGGGUUAAUUCUGGAUUUGUUGUGUUCAACUGGUGAAAUUUCUUACCCUUGUAUUAAGGUUUUAAAUUGUGUCUGAUGCAAAACGUGGAAUCAUUUUAGUUUAAUUCAGGAUUCUUCUUAUAGAAUGCAUGUUGUUUUGAAAUUCUCACGAGACUAGAAAAAUGAAAAGGAUUAAUAUCACUAUUAGUCCCUGGAUUGCAAGUGUUGUGUCACUUUCGCCCCUGAAGUUUUAACUUUUAGAUAUUACCCCUAUCCCGAUGAGGUAACACUCCCAAAAUUGAUAGGAAGUGCCGUAUGACACUUUAAAACCAGCGGCGGAGCACACCAUCGCGGGAUAGCCAAACUCUUCCCCAUCCAACGGUCUUGAACCGCCGGCCGAUAUCGUCUCCUUUGUGGGGAUGACAUCGUUGCUGCCGCUUCCCGAUCGGUCGGGAUUCCAUUUGACUUUUUCGGUGUGUUUCCACUGUGUGGGUGAUUUGAAACGGGUCUCUGAGGGUU